UUGUUCUUGUACAAGCCAUCUAUGUUGUAAGAAACUUCAUUCCCACUCUCACCCUUUCUGCGUGCACUGUGCACGCGCCAAGGACCACAGGAUGACCUUCCAGUUUGUCCUUGCAACUGGGAAACUCCAUAAAUGGGUAAAAUGGAAUUCGAGCGGCAGUAUACUAAUACAGCAAACUCUAUGAGCAAAAAGACCACCUAAGUGUUGGCGGCGCGUGAUAGACACGUGUGGAUAGGGAGACAAUGGGAAAUCCCUAAAGAUCAUAAAAUCUUGUAACCCUCGCUCUCGUGUAUAAGGCCCCAAAUCCCGGAAAAACAAGAAGUAUUCUUGCCAUAAAAAUCAUAAGGAAAGCAUCACAACAGUACCCAUAAUAAAAGCUGAAAAGAAAAAAAACGAGAUCCACCUCGAACCUCUCUCCACCCCCUUCCUCCUCGUCCUCCUCCUCCUCCUCCUCCGUAAGUUCUCGCGGUCACGGCGUCACUACGGCCUCCACCACUCCUCAAAUCAAAUCAAAUUCUAGUUUGAGAGAGAGAUACUCUUCUUUUCGUUUAAAAAAAAAAAUUCAAUCUUUGUGGCUCUCUUCUUUGUUUUUCUUUGGAUUUUGUUGUUAGUUAUUGGUCCAUUUGAAUACCCAAAUCCCAGAAAUCUUUGUUGUUUGAAGAGAAUAAGGGAAGUUGUGAAUUGGGUUUGGGUCAAUAUUUAGGGAAACAAGGAAAGGAAAUGAGGGAGGAUGAUUCUAAUUGGUUUUCAAGAUGGGAGGAAGAGCUCCCAUCACCAGAAGAGCUUAUGCCCUUAUCCCAAACCCUAAUUACUCCUGAUCUUGCUCUUGCUUUCGAUAUCCGUAAUCCUACUAAUACUGCCACCACUAACACCGCUUCUCUUUUACAACAAAAUCAUCCUCCUCCUCCUCCACCGCCGCCACCCACUGCCGCCACCCCCUCCCCUAACAACCCCUUGCCGCCUUCCCAACCUAACUCCGCUGAAUACGCCGCUGAUUCAGCUGACUUGGGUUCUGGGGCUGCAGGUGAUGAGCCUGCUAGAACUCUUAAGCGGCCCCGGCUCGUCUGGACCCCUCAGCUUCAUAAGAGGUUUGUGGACGCUGUUGCACACUUGGGGAUAAAAAAUGCUGUCCCCAAGACUAUAAUGCAGCUUAUGAGUGUAGAUGGGUUAACUAGAGAGAACGUAGCUAGUCACUUGCAGAAGUAUCGGUUAUAUCUGAAAAGGAUGCAGGGCUUGUCAUCUGGUGGUGCUGGUGGUGUUAAUGGUACUGGUGGUGGCGGGGCUGGUGGAUUGGCCGCAGGGUCUGAUGCUGCAACUGAGCAUUUGUUUGCGAGUUCUCCAGUACCUGCGCAUUUCCUGCAUCCAGGGAGGCCUAAUUCCGAUCAUUUCUUGCCGUUUGUGCCAGUGGCAGCACUGCAACACCAUCAUCACCAACAGCAGAUUGCAGCAGCUGCCGCAGCAGUGGCGCAUCCCCAGUUGCAGAGUCAGUACCACAGGCAGAUGGGGCACUUUGGGUCACCUCCAAAUGGGCAGUUUGAACAUCCCUUUCUAGCUAGACAGACACAGCAGCCUGUGCAUAGGAUGGGGGCGCCAGUGCAUAAUACAGUUCCAGGAUAUGUGGAGGAUUUGGAGUCGGCGAGUGGGAACGGGGGUAGGAAGGUUCUCACUCUGUUUCCUACGGGGGAUGAUUGAAUUUGGGUAAUCUUUGACUCCCUAAUUGGUCUUUCCUUUUUCUUCUUUUAUUUAGCUAUUGGGUCCUUGUUAAAUUGGUGUUUAGUACUGGUAGUUCUGUUAGAUUUUAAUUUAGUGUGCUGAUUGUGUUGAUUGUGUUAGCAGUGUUGUUGGCAAUCUUCAAUGUAGAAAUUGGUCUUGGCCUUCCGUCGCCAGAUCCAAAACUUUCUGAUGUUGAUCUUGGGUAUAUUUUGAGUGAUUGGAAUUGAUGGAUAGUGUCAUUUGUGUAUUGUUCAAUUUUUACGGGCUUCUACUCAUGUAAUUAAGUUAGUGGUAGCAGUCUGUAUUUCCCAUGUCAGCUUCUGGUGAUGGAUAUUGAUUCUGAGAUCGUUCUGAGUGGUGACAAAGUGUCUUAGCUUGUUAGUGGCAGCAACUGUUAUAGCAACUGUUAUCAGUCUUGCGAUAUUUGGUCAAUCGGGAUUUUGUAGAGGGUUUGCUUUAUCCCAGCAUAUUUUGGGAAUCGGCUUGGUGUUCCUACAUUUUAGAGUCUUUUUCUCAGGGAGGUUUAAUUGUCAGUGUUAAUGGUGGAGCAAUCGGAACUUCAAUUAUCUAAAUUUGUGCUUGCAGAUGAGGAUAAAUAAUGCUGGCAAGUGCAAUAUAUGUUCUAUAGGAUCUAAUUAUGGGUUGGUAUCUUUGGUUGGCACAUUUGGCACUGAGUUUCUCAGCAAGAUCUAAAAUAUCACGUGUAUGUCUCUCUUUUCUGUUUUUUAGAUGAUGCAAUGUAGAGGGGAGUUGUACUUGUUGUACAUUGUGUGACUUUACAGAAGACUAAAUCCCAAUUUGAUGGGUUAAAAAUUCCUCAUGUUAUUAGACUGUUAAUUUUAAUUUAAUGCUCCAUGAACUUUUUAUUAGCUGAACUUUCUUAUAUGCCCACAAACCUUUGUUGCUUUGUUGUUAUUAUUAUUAUUAUUUGAAUCCUUCUAAAUAUAUAUAUUUGCAAACUUAGAGCUUGUAGGGCGUUGCAACCAUAAAGUAUGAUUUUUAUGAAUCUCAGAUUAUGCAAACAGAUUGCAAGGUUUUGUUACCACCUUCGUUGGUUGGUUCAUUCCAGGAAUUCUUCUUUGUUUUGUUCAUUUCCUCUUAAAUUCCUUCCUGCCGAAGGUAACUAGCUUUAAAAUUUCUCAUUUGCAGGACAGUAAUGGUGCUAAAUGCCCACUGGAGGAGUGGUUGUAAAUAAAUGUAGGCAGACUACGUCUGAGUUCUUCCUGUUUUAUGGGAAGCUUGAUGAUUUGUGGUGUGUUAAUUGUUUGGCUGUUUUAUUUUGUUGAGCUUCUUCCUCUACAUUUUUCACAUUUUGGAGAUUCAGAAUCUCACUGUAUCAGGUUUAUCAGAGUUCAUUUUUUUCCUUGCUUAGCUUGGAUCUCUUAGGUGCUUUUCAGGUGUUUUGUAUUCUUGGGGCUGGGAGGUAAAUGAGUACAAUUUUUCGCCAUUUCACCUGAUAUCCUGCAAGUGGCAACAUAACAUGUGCUCCAUGUUAUGUGGUCCCUUGGUGACUGUGAUAUACAAUUCUUACUUUUAUAUGAUGUGCCGGCUAUUUAUGCUACCGAUUGGAUUUGUGGCGGUCCCUAGAAAUUACAGGUUUCAAUCUGUAAAAGUGAUUGGUGCUUCGCACUUUGUUGAUGCAUUGUUUGGGGUGUUGCAGAUGAUCUGGUUUAUAAACUUCUACUACAUGAAUAAUGCAUUGAAAAUUAUGAAUUUCAAUUUUCUUUUCUCUUUUUUUUUUUUAUUGCGGGUUAAGGAUCAUGCUAGAAUAUAAAACACUUCAGGUAUAUUAAAGUACACUCCAGGUUUCAGCUCUAAGGUCAGAAUAUCUAAUUGAUUAAUGCAUCAAAGGAUUAAAAUAUGUACAUUACUUCUAGUAUUAAGAAAUUGACAUAUGAAAUCAAUUUUAAGGUGAUACAAGAAAAAAAA
rnacentral:misc_RNA from 1 species